GGCUUUGUGGUGCAACGGUGGCGCAUCUGACUCAGAUCAGAAGGCUGCGUGUUCAAAUCACAUCAGGGUCA
rnacentral:tRNA from 1 species